AUGAGAGUUCAGCAUUUUAAUGGAGAACAAGUUCAGUUUGUUUGCUCUCUGCCUGGAUCUGUGAAAGAUGAUACAAGAUGUAAUCUGUACUUUGGAGAAGCAAGUCGUUCAGUCCUGACAGCAACUGUCUGGAAGAAAAGCAGCACAGAAACCAAACAGAGGUUCUGCCAGUUUUAUGUCUCAAUUGAUGAUUUUUUGAGACAUCUACAUUUUGUUCAACAAAAAGAAGCCAGCUGUGAUUACACUUUGAAAAGGGAACCCAGGUCUUUGUCUCCUCGCAGUGAUCAAUACAACUUAACAGCUAUUCUGGAAAGUGAAUCACCAAAGAUCAACAAACCAUCAUCUAUCAUGACCACAGAAUCAAGUCUCAGCAAACCCACUACUUCAUCUUCUACCACUUCAGUGAACUCACCAUCAGGACUGGCUGCUCUUAAUCUCAGCCCUACAACUGGUGUGAACACUCCUGUCAAAACAACUGAGUAUAUAACCUCACGAGACAGUACUACAGGUGAGACCGAGUGCAUCAAUAAUGCGUAG
rnacentral:lncRNA from 1 species